AUUGAACGCUGGCGGGAAUGCUUUACUACAUGCAAGUCGAACGGACAGCACGGGGCGAACCUGGUGGCGAGUGGCGAACGGGUGAGUAAUACAUCGGAACGUGCCCAAUCGUGGGGGAGUAACGUAGCGAAAGUUACGCUAAUACCGCAUACGAUCUACGGAUGAAAGCGGGGGAUCGCAAGACCUCGCGCGAAUGGAGCGGCCGAUGUCAGAUUAGGUAGUUGGUGGGGUAAAGGCUCACCAAGCCGACGAUCUGUAGCUGGUCUGAGAGGACGACCAGCCACACUGGGACUGAGACACGGCCCAGACUCCUACGGGGAGGCAGCAGUGGGGAAUUUUGGACAAUGGGCGCAAGCCUGAUCCAGCCAUUCCGCGUGCAGGAUGAAGGCC
rnacentral:rRNA from 1 species